rnacentral:rRNA from 1 species
UACGUAGGUGGCAAGCGUUGUCCGGAAUUAUUGGGCGUAAAGCGCGCGCAGGCGGUCCUUUAAGUCUGAUGUGAAAGCCCACGGCUCAACCGUGGAGGGUCAUUGGAAACUGGGGGACUUGAGUGCAGAAGAGGAGAGUGGAAUUCCACGUGUAGCGGUGAAAUGCGUAGAGAUGUGGAGGAACACCAGUGGCGAAGGCGACUCUCUGGGACGGUACUGACGCUGAGACGCGAAAGCGUGGGGAGCGAACAGG